GGAUCUCACCACCCUCAUAGGGAAGAAUUUUUGCCUAAUAUCCAGUCUAAACCCAUUGGCAUUAUCAAAAGCCUUAUAUGGGCAAAAAAAACCCCAAAAACGAAAAACAAAAACAAAAGCCCAAAAAAACCCACUACUUUUUAAUUGAUAGAUAUAUUAGGUAUUUAAAACCCGAGUUUUAAAGUCCUUCUGUUUAUUGUUCCUAUAAGCAGGGUUGAUGACAAAAGCAGAUGCACUCCAUUACUCCUGUGACAGCAAACCAUGUGGCUUCUUUGUGUUCCAGCUACAUUUUGGACUUUAAUUAAAUGUAGCAUCACAUUCCUUGGCUUUUCUCUCUACUGUGUCCCUUCACAUACUUCCAUUUUUAUUUUCCCCUUGUCUUCCCCCACCCAUAUUUUCCUCUUUAGAACUCCCCCUAAUUUAUGGUAUCCAUGUGUGUGCCUUGGGUGAGCUCUGAGCCCCUGCAGCUGCCGCAGCGCUGAGGUGAUCUGAUCAGCACUUGCUGAGCAAGGAUUUGGGUUUCCCAGAGCUCAGGACAUUUUUGUACACUUCCCUUUUCUCCUGUCAGCGUGAAAUAUAUGUGACACAUAACGUGAUGUGUGAUAGGAGGGCGUACGAAAAAACCGAGAUACCCUCAGAGGUGCCUUCAGGUUUUGAAGAAAAAUAAAAAAAAAGGAGCAGGAAAUCAAACAAGCGGCGCUGAAGAUGUUGGUUGUAGCUCUUUGCAGGGCAGUUUCUCGGUUGGUGCCGUUGCUAUCGCUCCCAGGGCGUUUUACAGGCCCCGUGAGGGUGCCUGCGCCUCUGGGCACGCCGAUAAGCGCGGCCCGGGGGCGGUGGGCUAGCCCCGACCGCACCGCCUUUCCCUUCCCCUGCUGGGCCGGGGCAGGGGGAGAGCCGUGCCCCGUUAUCACCGCCCUGCAGAGGGGCACCGCCAGCACCUCCGUGCCCGGCCCCUCCAGCCCCAGCCCGGCGCUGAGCGCCUCUAUCAGCUCAGCUCCCUCAGGGCCGCGGGGAGCGCCCGCCCGGGGCUCUGCAGGGGCGGCCUCAGCUGCGCCAGCAGAACCGCUCCUUUCUAGGGAUUUCCGUCCUACAUCUUCAGGAGACCGGGUUCCCUUCCAGCAGUCUCCUUCAGCAGUCAAGGGUGUGCCCAGAAAUAUCUUUUCAUCCUCCCACCAUGCCUCUUCAAAAGCUUUUUACCCUCUGAGGAAGGACCUCGAGGGAAUACCAUACACAGGGCUGAUUUCCUCCCAGCUUUCCCCAGCUGGGAUCCAGUGGGAACAACCAUCCAUCCUCUGGGAGCUUCUGCUGCCCCAGAUCUGGUUGUGUCAAGGAGAGUCUCCAUGGACUUGGUCUAACAAAGGCAUGAUGGAUCUGACCCUUUGUAAUCUUUGCCAAUAAAGCUGGAAAAAUG